ensembl:lincRNA Gm3764 predicted gene 3764
CUUGGUUUAUGUGCCUGGCUGGAGGAGACACCCAUGGCCUUGCAGAGGGAGCGUUCUGGUGGGAAAGCAGACACAACCCACCCUAGGCCCGUGGUUUCCCUGCAAGAAGCCCAGUGGCUUUCUGGAGGACACUUUUCCUGGAGGAAGUGACUCAAGAGCAGCAUAAGCCAGGCUCUAUGGAAUGUUGGGUGAGCUGCUUGAGGAACUCCAAGGCCUGUCCCACAGUCUUCCAGCCUCCGACUCUCCGGCCCUCAGCGAGGAAGUCCCACUGGUUUUUUUGGUUGUUUUUUUUUUUAAGGUUUUUUUGUUUUUUUUUGUUUUUUUUCUCAUUCCUGUCUUGGGAGCUUUCCCCAACCAGGAGAGUGAAGAUGGGCGGAGCUGUCACACCAACUGUUAGCCUGCCUUGGCUGAGAGGAGAGGAGGCAAGGAGGGAACGACCACCCAGCUUUAGUCGUUUUAAAACAGUUCCUGACCCUAGAAGAAGGGAAAUGGAGAUGAAAACUCAAUUGACUUGGUAUGAAGUUUAAAUGCCCCUUCAAGACUUGGGGGUCGAGGACGGCUUCCCUCCCUCCCAGUGCUGAUUUCCUGUGGACCAGAUUCCAGCACAGUGGAGGGCCAGAGCUCAGGGAACAGACCCAGCAGCACAGCAAGUCUCCAAGGAAAGCUCUAGCAGUCUCCAGGGGCUGAAGGCAGGACUGGGGAAGCGGCUAGCCAGGCUGCAGAAGUCAAAUGCUCCCAGACGGCUGUCCAGCACGCAUCCGCCUUCCUAGCCAAGUUUCCUGGGCUCCUGCCACAGAUCUAAGCCUCAUCCUGACAUCUUGCCCUCUGUGCUCUGGGAUGGCCCAGGGGAGAUGCUUAGCCUUGGCUCCUUGUCUGCUGGUGGAGGGGACACACACCCUUUCUGGACCACAGACCAAAAAGAAGACCCGACGUCAUCCUGAGCACCCCCGCCAUGCAGAGUGUGUUCGCAGACUGCCAACAGGCUGGCUCCGGCCAGCAGAAGUGAACAGAGGUGGAGGUUCAGCCUGACAGCUUCUCCCCAAAGCCAUGGAGAGAAAACCUUACCACCCCCACCUCCCAGCUACUUCCAGCAAGUUGUCCAGCCUGACCCCUCUAUUUCCCCUGUUGUCUAUUAGCUGGGUCCCCGAGACCCACCCCAUCUCCAAUAAAGAACAUUGCAUACUGCG